ensembl:lncRNA
CCCACUUCCAUUUGGUGUACCUGAUUUUCUAUCUUUUCACAUAAAUGUGAGAGCCAGUGUUUCUUCUGAAAAAAUAAUAAUCAAAAAAUGCUUUUGAGCUAUUUUGUUAUUUUAAAUCCAGAAGUGGUAAUGGAAGAAUUUAGUUAUCAAUUUUACUGUUUUCCUCACAGUUAGUAAAGGAAAACUGUGACUUCCUUGCUUCACCUAUCAUUAUGGAAAUUGGCUGUUUUUGCCUGGUAGAGAAAUUAGGAGCUCCAGGUGGCUUUCUGAUUGCCUUCCUGCUUCUCAGAUUCUUCUUUGAUUUUUGUGGAUGCUUCUUUGAGUAACCCAUUCAACCCCAGUGUUCCAGGAGUUGCUGCAGCUGUGGGACCUACAGAGCCAGGGCCCAGAGCCACCAAGGGCAAGCUCUGCAAAGCCAGCCUUCCCAUGAGGCCCCAGCUACUCAGAAUCCCUUGAGCCCUUGGGGCACUUUGCUAGCCCCUACCCAGGGAAUGGCCAGGCAUGUGGAGCUAUUGAUGCAGAUGCAGCUGCUAAAGGUGUUCACGUGGGAACAGCUGUGUGCCACCCAGAGGAGCCAGCCCAGGAGUUAGAGAAAUGACGACAGUAGGAACAAGACCUGCAGUGCAACCAAAUGCAAGCAGAAGUGGAGUGACGGCACCAUCAGCCACUUCAAGAAGGUGUCCUUUGAAGAGAGUGGAGCCUUACAGGAAACUUCACUGAGGAACAAUGACCAGGAAAGGGCUACUUCCUGAAGAAUAAGAUCA